GGAAUUUUGGACAAUGGGCGAAAGCCUGAUCCAGCAAUGCCGCGUGCAGGAUGAAGGCCCUCGGGUUGUAAACUGCUUUUGUACGGAACGAAAAGACGCUUUCUAAUAAAGAGAGUCCAUGACGGUACCGUAAGAAUAAGCACCGGCCAACUACGUGCCAGCAGCCGCGGUAAUACGUAGGGUGCAAGCGUUAAUCGGAAUUACUGGGCGUAAAGCGUGCGCAGGCGGUUAGGUAAGACAGAGGGGAAAUCCCCGGGCUCAACCUGGGAACGGCCUUUGUGACUGCAUAAGUAGAGGACGGUAGAGGGGGAUGGAAUUCCGCGUGUAGCAGUGAAAUGCGUAGAUAUGCGGAGGAACACCGAUGGCGAAGGCAAUCCCCUGGACCUGUACUGACGCUCAUGCACGAAAGCGUGGGGAGCAA
rnacentral:rRNA from 1 species